rnacentral:rRNA from 1 species
GACGAACGCUGGCGGUGUGCUUAACACAUGCAAGUCGAACGGUAAGGCCCUUUCGGGGGUACACGAGUGGCGAACGGGUGAGUAACACGUGUGUAACCUGCCCUCAUCUCUGGGAUAACAGUCGGAAACGGUUGCCUAUACUGGAUUUGAGCCUGCAAGGCAUCUUGUGGGUUGGUAAGAUUUUUUGGUGAGGGAUGGACUUGCGGCCUAUCAGCUUGUUGGUGAGGUAGUGGCUCACCAAGGCUUCGAUGCGUAACUGGACUGAGAGGGCGACCGGCCACAUUGGGACUGAGAUACGGCCCAAGCUCCGACGGGAGGCAGCAGUGGGGAAUAUUGCACAAUGGACGGAAGGCUGAUGCAGCAACGCCUCGGGCGGGAUGACGGCCUUCGGUUUGUAAACCGCUUGUAAUUGUGACGAAGCUUUUUGUGACGUUAGCAGUAGAAGAAGCACCGGCUAACUACGUG